CUUUCUCUUCACGUGCAAGCCAAAGCUCCAGCUCCAGCUACUGGAAAGUGAAAGCAGUGAUGACACCGGAAAAUCCCUUCCUGUUACUAUUAAGGAGGAGAGCUGAGCUCCGGGCUCUUAGUCACGGACAGAGAGAGAGCUCGCAUGUGCACAGGCAACAACAACAAGACUGAAGCGUUUACAACGUGGAGAUGAAGACGAUACACAGAAUGCUAACACGGAGGAGGGAGAGCAGGAAGCCUCUGAUAGAGAACAACAACCAACACACAGAACAUGGAUGUGACCGCAGUUGCUAUGGAUACGACAACCCCUGGGCAGCUCAGAACACCUUCAACACCGCCAAAAAACACCCGUGGAGAGACGACGACACCGCCAACCCCUUCCUGCCCGAACCAGGAGACGACCACAGCCAAAAAGCCGCGCCUCUGUGCUUCCCGCAGCCGCCUGCCGAUCUGGACCAGAACCUUCAGCAGCAUCUAGACAAUGUUGAGGAAACAGUGCUCGCUGAGCUCGUCAGGCUCCGCCCCCUGCCCGCUGCCUUCCACCGCCAGAUGUUCGAUCACCUGCACGGUCUGCUGCUGCACAUCAGCUCCUCCAAGAACUCCCUCCUGCUGAUGAGAUGGGUCCUACACACAUAUGUGAGUCAGGAGGACAUGGGUCGCCCUGACGGCCGGCUGUUCAGUGAGUGGGAGGCUAAAGCAAAGGACAAGCUGCUCGCAAAUGUGAAGACAGAGGUCAGAGACUCUCUGGACAGAAUCCUCCAGGGUGAGAGAUGCCGGGGACUUUGUGACACUGAGGAGGACUAUAUUGGACUUUAUGUGGACACCAUUCAGUGCACUGCUGCCAUACCCAGAGAGGCUCAGAAAAUCAGCUCGGAGCUGUGUGAAGCGGUGCAGGAGGUUUGUUUCCAAGAACUGCUGCGGUUUGUGAAGAGGUACGCGGCACAGCAGGCUGAGGUUCUUGGAGCAGAAAUGGAGCAUCCACAAACUAUACACUACCUCAAGACUUUGAAAACAUGCAAAGAGCUCAAACAACAUGUCCACAGCCACGGUGGAGACAUCAAAGCGUCCCUUCUGAAGGAAAUUGUGGCAGUUCUUGAGGACAUAGAGGAUUUUACUUUGAAAUUUCUGAUGGAUAUUGUGACGGACAUCGCCGAGAGACACUUUAAAGACUACUUCAAAGCUGACAACAGGUGGGGCAGCUUGUCCGCUGACUUAGAGAAGCAUUUCCCGAAGCUGAGUUAUGUUCAGGAUGAACAAAAGGCGGUGAUGUAUGAUGCUUAUCAGAUCAUCGCUCAAACUUACCUCAGAUACCUGAUCCAAAGCAGCCGGAACAAGCUGAGGAGGUACUGGAGGCAGGACGUCGGCCCGAGAGUCGCUGAUGAUGCAGAUAAGCUGCACAACACCAUCUCCCGCCUGGCUCCGGGAGUCCAACACUUUAUGCUGCUGAAGAGAGUCUCAGCGGUGCUGGACUGCAGAUCCACCGACGCAGUGAAGCUCGACGUAGCGUCCAUACAGAAGAACUGCUUCAGAGAGAGCGAGGACGUGGACCUGCUGUACGACCUGCUGCGGUGGAAGGGUCUCAGUAAGCGGCGGGUCAGGGAGGUGCUGGACGCUCUUCCCGGAUGUCCCUCCACACCGAGCUCCUCACUUUGGUCCUGCGGCUUCUCCUCCUGCUGCUGCUGACACAUGAUGGAGCUCCUGCUGCCGAGUCCUGUCCAGACUCGCUCCGUUCACUGGUUCCAGAGGAGCAGACAGGAAGCACAUCCUGCAGGCUGCCUGCAGUGCGCAUGCGCGGGCAACAACACGCGUUUUUGUUCUCAGCACAACUUCCACCAAUGAUAAUAUUAAUAAUGUCAUAAUAAAUCACAAUGAAUGUUUUUAAUGUUAUUUAUU
ensembl:lncRNA uncharacterized LOC114427578